UGGCGGCUUGUAAUUAGUCGA
rnacentral:snRNA from 1 species